rnacentral:rRNA from 1 species
AGAGUUUGAUCAUGGCUCAGGACGAACGCUGGCGGCGUGCCUAAUACAUGCAAGUAGAACGCUGAAGAAAGGAGCUUGCUUCUUUUGGAUGAGUUGCGAACGGGUGAGUAACGCGUAGGUAACCUGCCUUGUAGCGGGGGAUAACUAUUGGAAACGAUAGCUAAUACCGCAUAACAGCUUUUGACACAUGUUAGAAGCUUGAAAGAUGCAAUUGCAUCACUACGAGAUGGACCUGCGUUGUAUUAGCUAGUAGGUAGGGUAACGGCCUACCUAGGCGACGAUACAUAGCCGACCUGAGAGGGUGAUCGGCCACACUGGGACUGAGACACGGCCCAGACUCCUACGGGAGGCAGCAGUAGGGAAUCUUCGGCAAUGAGGGCAACCCUGACCGAGCAACGCCGCGUGAGUGAAGAAGGUUUUCGGAUCGUAAAGCUCCCCUGUAAGAGAAGAACGUGUGUGAGAGUGGAAAGUUCACACAGUGACGGUAACUUACCAGAAAGGGACGGCUAACUACGUGCCAGCAGCCGCGGUAAUACGUAGGUCCCGAGCGUUGUCCGGAUUUAUUGGGCGUAAAGCGAGCGCAGGCGGUUUAAUAAGUCUGAAGUUAAAGGCAGUGGCUUAACCAUUGUUCGCUUUGGAAACUGUUAAACUUGAGUGCAGAAGGGGAGAGUGGAAUUCCAUGUGUAGCGGUGAAAUGCGUAGAUAUAUGGAGGAACACCGGUGGCGAAAGCGGCUCUCUGGUCUGUAACUGACGCUGAGGCUCGAAAGCGUGGGGAGCAAACAGGAUUAGAUACCCUGGUAGUCCACGCCGUAAACGAUGAGUGCUAGGUGUUAGGCCCUUUCCGGGGCUUAGUGCCGCAGCUAACGCAUUAAGCACUCCGCCUGGGGAGUACGACCGCAAGGUUGAAACUCAAAUGAAUUGACGG